rnacentral:rRNA from 1 species
AUUGAACGCUGGCGGCAUGCCUUGCACAUGCAAGUCGAACGGUAACGGGUCCUUCGGGAUGCCGACGAGUGGCGAACGGGUGAGUAAUAUAUCGGAACGUGCCCAGUAGUAGGGGAUAACUGCUCGAAAGAGCAGCUAAUACCGCAUACGACCUGAGGGUGAAAGGGGGGGAUCGCAAGACCUCUCGCUAUUGGAGCGACCGAUAUCAGAUUAGCUAGUUGGUGGGGUAAAGGCCUACCAAGGCAACGAUCUGUAGUUGGUCUGAGAGGACGACCAGCCACACUGGGACUUAGACACGGCCCAGACUCCUACGGGAGGCAGCAGUGGGGAAUUUUGGACAAUGGGCGCAAGCCUGAUCCAGCAAUGCCGCGUGCAGGAAGAAGGCCUUCGGGUUGUAAACUGCUUUUGUCAGGGAAGAAAUCUUCUGGGCUGAUACCCCGGGAGGAUGACGGUACCUGAAGAAUAAGCACCGGCUAACUACGUGCCAGCCGCCGCGGUAA